GCCGCCGGGCAGCGUGGCGUACGCGCGGCCCUGCUUGCGGCGGAGCAUGAGGAGCACUUCGGCGCUGUCGUUCAGGAUGAUGGCGACGGCGC
rnacentral:tRNA from 1 species